ensembl:lncRNA
GUGGUCAAAAAUUCCAGCAAGCUGAUGUCAUACAUUGGUGGACAAUUAUGCAAAAUGCCUACUAGAAGUUAUUUCUGCUAAAGGGGUCAAAACUAGCUUCUGAGGCCAAGGGUGUAUUUACUUUUUCCACAGAAGAAUCACAUCUAUUGCUAUUUCUGUUGAAUAAAUGAAUGAAAAAGCUAUUUUUACUUGUGGUUUUCUUCAAGUAUAUCAACUUUAUUAAUGGGCAUGGUUUCAAAGAGGAUCAAAUGUUUGCUUGUCCAAAUAUGUCAAAAAAGCCAAGAAUUUCCAUGGGGUGUACUUAUUUUUUCACACGACUGUAUGUAUAAGUGACUUUAAUAGACUGCUAACAUUGACAUGUUUUAUCAUGAUUCAUUAAUUUCUGCAGAGUUUACAUUGUGUAUUUAUUAAGGCAACACUUAAUCAGAUCAGAAGAAUAUUUUUUUAAUUAUGUACUAUCAUUAUGGUUGUUUUUUUGAUGCAUAUAUUUAUUUACCUCAUCAUUUAUCGGGUUCAUGCCACCGCGGACUGCUUCUUCGUUUACUGAAUUGGAUUCUCCAUGUUUAUUGCCUUGAUUGGGAGUUACAUACAUAUCAUAAUUUAUACUGGUUGUAUUAGUCAGAUUCAUAUUCAAAGGAGUAAUCUGUAUAGUCGGUGUAUCCUGCGGUCUGUGUCGCAUAAUCAAAUUCACUAUCAUCUGUAUAACCUGUAAAAGGGGGAAAAAACACUUAGAAGGCCAUCACAUUAUCUGGAAAUGCUAGUGGAGAUUGGAGCAUUACACUCUAAUCUUUAAAGCCAUUUAACACUGUUGUUUUUCAUCUUCAAAUCUUUGUUUGUAUUUUUGUUUAAUGGUUUUGAACAAUGACAAAAUUUCAUUAAAAAAAAGUUAAACCUUUUAACUCUUCUAAGAAGUAUCCUUUAGAAUAAUCAGAGCUUCGUUUCAUGUUAUGUCCUAAUGUGGACUGAUUUUGAGGGAAUAUUUAUGGAAAAGUGGCAUGUUGGCAUGUGAAUGAAAACAAUAAGAUAACACAAGGUAAUAAAACCUGACAGAAAACCCUUACUGCAGUUACAGUAUUCAACUACAUCCAACCAACUGAAACAUUGUGAUGGUCUGAACUCGUUCUUGUACAAUGUCAGGUAUUGAGUUUCCUCUCACUGAACCUGGCAGCUCACUGUUUUACCCAACUACAGAACAGGUAUAGACAAGAUCUUCAAACAUUCUACAGUCUUGGCUUAAUGCAGCCCGUAUCUACAACUCAUAUCUAGAGACAGUUUUCCUUUCAGAUUUGAAUGAUUGGCAAAAGCAUCUCUACACUGGUUCCACUCUACUUUUUUUAGUCAUUUCCUUAGUCCUGAUAUAAUCAGUGUGAAAUAAAUCACUUACACAAUCGUUUGGUAUCACACUGAUUUUGAGACAGCAGGUAAAUGCCAGCAGACAGUCACAUCAUUUACACACAUACAUUAGCUAAAAACACUUUUAGACAGCAACAUAAACUGCUUAAAUUUGUUUUAUAUUGUCUGUACUUGUUCUGGUGUGUAUGCAUUCUUGGACAAGCUUUUUUUUUAAGUUUAUUAUUAAUUUCUCAGCAUGACAAGAGAACUGAUGAGGCUAAUUAAGGUAAAAUUAUAUAUAUAAAAAGAUAUGUACCUUGAUGUCAAAGUGUUUUGCAGUAUGCAAAAGUUCCACAGUUCUGCACGCCUAGCCUGGGAAUGUUUUAUUAAGCUUGUCAACUUGUCUAGGCUUUCUGCAGAAAUCACUUUAAAUAAUUAAGGAGCCAGUUUAACAAAAGGUUUCAAAACAUUCAUACAGAAGAAAAUACCAACAUUUCACCAUGUGAGGGGUUUCCCCAGGCUGCCACACAUCUACAAUUUCUUCUGUCUUUGUUGGUAAACUAAUUAAAAAGCCUACUAAACUGAACAUGAAUGAGAAGAAGCUUUUGUUAAGCUUUUAUUUAAUUUAAACUGACACAUGGUAAUAUUUUGUUUUGUUUUUUUAUCGACUUUUUCAGCUUCCAUCAAUCCUGUCUUUCAACGCUUGUUGAAUUUCAUAAUUUCAUUUCAAGGUUGUUGUUUUUUUAAACUAUAAUGGGUUAUAGCACAAAAAUUUUAGCUGAAAUGCUGAAGUAAUUAUUAUAUCAGCCACUUCCCUUUAUUUACACUAUCACAUCAUGAAUUUGGAAGUCAGGAAAAAACAAGAUAUGAAAGGAGAUGUAGUUCUUACCCAAACACUGAGGCAGCAACAAAACCCCUGUCACCCACAGAGAGAGCAGUCCUGUGUGCAUGCUGGAGAAGUGUGUGAUUGCAGAGAUGUGUGUGUAGUGCGCAGUGAGACACAUGCAUAACUCCAUGAGCUGUAUUUAUGUACAGUAGUGUGUCAAAGGGUGGAGAGGACUGGGUUGGGCUAAAACAGACUGCUAAUAUAA